AUGAUGUUUAUUUUUCAGCUGGCUGAGUCCUUUCCUGCAUCUCGGACACAAGCAAAGACUGGAAGCAGGUGACCUCUACACAAUACUUCCUGAAGAUGAAUCGGAAGUACUUGGACAAGACCUGCAGAGGUGCUGGGAACUUGAAGUUAAAAGGGCAACCAAACAACUACGGAAGCCCACACUGACCAAAGUCCUUAUUAAGUGCUAUGGGAAGUCUUUCGCCGUCGCGGGAAUCUUUGCGUUUUCCUUGGUAUGCACUGAAACUCCCUUUUUUUUUUUUAUUGAUGUUGAAAUGACUAGAAAUUGGAUUCCACGCUUAUGUGACAAUAAAGAGACCCCCAGUAGGUAAAAAAAAAAAAAAAAUGAGGGGAAAAA